CGCCUCAUAUCGAGCAUCAGUUCAAGACAACAUCUAGUUACGUUGGCCCACACAUGGACUGAAUUUCAAGUCUCCAGCCAAAAGACUCUCUUGACUGAAGACUUGGGGGAUUACUGUUUAUACCAUAUUUAGGGCCUCCAUAUUUAGAGCUCGUACAAAUACUCAGGGGACUUAAAUGUAAUUAUGUGAUAAAGGAAUGGGCAAAUAUGUAAUAAGUGAGGAGUCCUUAUUCUAUAAAAUGACCUAUCACCCUCACAAUUAGGGGAGGCCAUUUCUAGAGCCUUCUCACCCCUCUCACAUCUCCUCUCAUUACAGAGGUUCUCUCCCUCACCUCUUAGAUAAAUAUAAUACAAUCAGUGUGGAUGUAGCCCAAACCUUAGGGUGAAUCACAAUACAUCUUGUGUUAUUUACAUUUCUUGCAGAUUCACGGCCGGAUUUACGUUGUACCAAAGCCCUCCGGUUUUGUGCAUCAAGGGCUUUGGUACAACGUAAAUCCGGCCGUGAAUAUGCAAGAAAUGUAAAUAACACAAGAUGUAUCGUGGUUCACCCCAAGGUUUGGGCUACGUCCACACUGAUUGUAUUGUAUUUAUCUGACAAGUGAGGGAGAGAGAGCUUUGAGAGUGAGAGCGUUGAGAAGGGGUGAGGAGCCUUAGGAAUUGGCCUCAGAAAUAGUCUUCCCUAAUUGUGAGGGUGAUUGGUCCUUUUAUAGAAUAAGGACUCCUCACUUAUUACAUAUUUGUCCCUUCCUUUAUCACAUAAUUACAUUUAACUCCUCCGAGUAUUUGUACGAGAUCUAAAUACGAGGCCCUAAAUAUGGUAUAAACAGUAGUCCCCCAAGUUUUCAGUCAAGAGAGUCUUUUGGCUGGAGACUUGAAAUUCAGUCCAUGUGUGGGCCGAAGUAACUAGAUACUGUCUUGAACUGAUGCUCGAUAUGAGGCAGUGCUCAAUCUGAAAUAACGCUCAACUAGAAGCAGCACAUGAUGCGAGGCUACUCGACUCGUGGCUUAUAUUGCCUUGGUUGGCUCGGCUUACGGCGUUUGAAAGUGAGGGAGUCCCUUUUAUAGAAUAAGGGCUCGCUCCUCAAUACAUGUAUGAUGGGCUAGAGUUGAUGCUCUCUAAUGAUGGUGAGGGAGUCCCUUUUAUAGAAUAAGGGUUCGCUCCUCAAUACAUAAGUGAUGGGUUAAGAGUGAUGCCCGCGGCGAGACGGUUGCUCAGCUGGCGGCGUUGCUUUCUAAUGAUGGUGAGGGAGUCAUUUUUAUAAAAUAAGGGCUCGGUUCUCAGUACAUGAACAAUGGGUGCUCUCUAAUGAAAGUGAGGGAGUCCCUUUAUAGAAUAAGGGCUCGCUCCUCAAUACAUAAGUAAUGAGCUAAGUCCCCCAAGUAUUUUUCAUGAGGCCCAGUUGAGGCCCAAUAUAUGGUACAUAAUGUAGUCCCGCAAGUCUUCGGUCAAUAGAGUCUGUUGGCUGGAGACUUCAAAUUGAAUCCAUGUAUGGGCCGAAGUGGCGGUUGUUCGGAGGCGGUAUUUGUAUACCCUGCACUGAAGCUUUGUGGGUGAAGCUUUGCAAGUGAAGCUUCGAAGCUAGAGCUCUGUAAAUGAAGCUUUCGAAGCUGGAGCUUUUGUAAAUGAAGCUUUUGAAGCUAGAGCUCUGUAAAUGAAGCUUUUGAAGCUAGAGCUCUGUAAAUGAAGCCUUUGAAGCUGUUUGACAUGAGUGAUGUUUAUGAAUGUUUAUGUUGAUUGACAUGAGUGAUGCUCUUGGAUGUUGUCGUGAGUGAUGCUCAUGGAUGUUGUCAUGAGUGAUGCUCAUGAAUGUUAACAUGAGUGAUGCUCAUGAAUGUUGACAUUAAUGAUGGUCAUGAAUGUUUAUGUAUGAUUGUCAUGAGUGAUGCUCAUGAAUGUUUAUGUAUGAAUGACAUGAGUAAUGCUCAUGUCGAAUUUGGAGUACUGGGCGUACUUUUGGUCACCUGGUUGGUGAUAAUAGUGGCAGGUUGCCGAAUAAUUUUGGAAAUACUGGGCGUACUUUUGAUCACCUGGUUAGUGGUAAUAGCGGCGGGUUGCCGAAUAAUUUUGGAAGUACUGGGCGUACUUUUGAUCACCUGGUUGGUUCUAUUUUGGGCUUAUAGGCCUUCGCUCUCCACAACAUGCCAGCCCAUUUAUUUUGGGGUUUGCCCUUUUUUUUUUUUUUUUUACCCUCGGAUGGGGUUUUUACAGAUGUCUCUGAAAGAUAAAAUAAAUUGCAUCAUUCAGACACAAAAAGCUAUGUAGAUUCUCUUUCAUUUUUUCAUCUCACCACCGUGAGACCUCAUCACACUCCACCUUGAAUCUGCAAAAAUCUGCAAAAACUCAUUUUCCAUCCCACCACCGCAUCUUUUCAUGUCUCUGACUCUUUCUCUCUCCUCUCUCUCCCUCCCUCCCUCGGAUUUCUCGAAUCCAACCAGAGCGUGCAACACCAACCAGAGCGUGGCCGUGUUCUUUUCAUGUCAACACAGGAUGAUCAAGACAAUGUUUGAGUAAGCGGAAGGUUUCCGAGGAGGAUAUCCAGGCCUGUGAGAAGAGGUACAACAAGAGCAAGCUCAUCCACUCCAUCAUGCGCCAUGUGGGUGAGACUUUGGGGAUUGAUUUGGAGGACUUGUAUGUCAAUAUUGUUUGGCCGUUAUAGCGGAAGUAGAUUCAUGCUUUUGAGGCUUUCAAAAUAGUUGUGGCUGAUCUUGAUUCAGUUCUUAGCACCCUCACACGUGAGGUCAAAGAGGUUGGCCCUGAUGAACAAGAGGUCACUAAGGUGGUUCCUGCUGUGUCAGAGGAAAUUAAAGAAUCUCUGGUGAAGAAUAUUAGGAGAAGAAUGACUCCACAAUCAUUGAAGAUACGAGCUGAUAUUGAAAUGAAAUGCUUCUAAUUUGAUUGUGUUCUUCACAGUAAGGAUGUCAUGAGGAAAGUGGAAGCUGUGGGCAAUAAUGAUUGUCCUGUGAAAAUUAAAAUGGUUGCUCCUCCACUUUAUGUUCUUACCACACAGACUCUUGAUAAGGUAGGGCUUUAUUCAGCGAGUAUAACCGGGCGCGGACUCCGAGUUGGUCCGAUUUUAGCAAUGUACAGUGGGUCCAGAGACGGCGAAGGAAAAUCCUUCCAGCCUCCAUGCUUUGAGUCUGUAACCUCCGCCACUUCAUCGGAUCCGGUGCCAGACUCGGAUCUGAAGCCUUCAUGGGAGCAGAUUUUUGGACUUCAUGGAUAGCUGGAGGAUUACCAUUGGCGCUUGGGAUUGUUCUUAUAGCAGUAGGGAAACGUCAUUCAGAUGUAGAGGAGGACGAAGGUGAAGAAGAAAAUAAAAGAGAUCAGCAACUCUUAGAAACAAAGCUCUUAGCUUCUUCUGCAAGACCUACUUCUACACCUUCUUCUUUUCCCAUGGCCUCCAGUAUUCAAGAAAACAACAAUCAACUUGAACACCAACAACAACAACAUUAUCAUCAAAUUCAAGAUCAGCAUCAUCACCUUCAGCAGCAACAGAUUCAAUAAGGGAUGAUGCAAUCAUCACACUCACAAUUAGGAGAGGCCAAUUCCUAGGUCCUCUUACCCCCUCUCAAAGAUCUCACUCUCAGAGCUUAAUUUCCCUCAAAUAAAUACAUAAUCAGUAUGGACGUAGCCCAAACCUUGGGGUGAACCACGAUACAUCUUGUGUUAUACAUGAGCAUUACUUAUGUCAUUCAUACAUAAACAUUCAUGGGCAUCACUCAUGAUAGUCAUACAUAAACAUUCAUGACCAUCAUUCAUGACAACAUUUAUGAGCAUCACUCAUGUUAACAUUCAUGAGCAUCACUCAUAACAACACCCUUGAGCAUCACUCAUGUCAAUCAACACAAACAUUCAUGAGCAUAACUCAUGUCAAUCAACUUCAAAAGCUUCAUUUACAAAGCUCUAGCUUCAAAAGCUUCAUUUACAGAACUCUAGUUUCAAAAGCUUCAUUUACAAAAGCUCUAGCUUCAAAAGCUUCAUUUACAGAGCUCCAGCUUCAAAGCUUCACUUCCAAAGCUUUACCUACAAAGCUUUAGUGCAGGGUAUACAAAUACCACCCCCGAACAACCGCCACUUCGGCCCAUACAUGGAUUCAAUUUGAAGUCUCCAGCCAACAGACUCUAUUGACUGAAGACUUGGGGGACUACAUUAUAUACCAUAUAUUGGGCCUCAACUGGGCCUCAUAAAAAAUACUUGGGGGACUUAGCCCAUUAUCUAUGUAUUGAGGAGCGAGCCCUUAUUCUAUAAAAGGGACUCCCUCACUUUCAUUAAAGAGCACUCAUGAAAAAUACUUGGGAGACUCUAGCCCAUCACUUAUGUAUUGAGGAGUGAACCCUUAUUCUAUAAAAGGGACCCCCUCACCAACAUUAGAGAGCGUCGACUCUAGCCCAUCAUUCAUGUAUUGAGGAGCGAGCCCUUAUUUUAUAAAAGGGACUCCCUCACCUUCAACGCCACAAGCCGAGCCAACCAAGGCAACAUAAGCCACGAGCCGAGCAGCCUCGCAACAUGUGCUACUUCUAGUUGAGCAUCAUUUCAGAUUGAGCACCGCCUCAUAUCGAGCAUCAGUUCAAGACAACAUCUAGUUACUUCGGCCCACACAUGGACUGAAUUUCAAGUCUCCAGCCAAAAGACUCUCUUGACUGAAGACUUGAGGGACUACUGUUUAUACCAUAUUUAGGGCCUCCGUAUUUAGAGCUCGUACAAAUACUCAGGGGACUUAAAUGUAAUUAUGUGAUAAAGGAAUGGGCAAAUAUGUAAUAAGUAAGAAGUCCUUAUUCUAUAAAAGGACCCCUCACCCUCACAAUUAGGGGAGGCCAUUUCUGGAGCCUUCUCACCCCUCUCACAUCUCCUCUCAUUACAGAGGUUCUCUCCCUCACCUCUCAGAUAAAUACAAUACAAUCGGUGUGGACGUAGCCCAAACCUUGGGGUGAACCACGAUACAUCUUGUGUUAUUUACAUUACUUGCAUAUUCAUGGUCGGAUUUACGUUGUACCAAGACCUCCGGUUUUGUGCAUCAACAAUAUUAUAUAUUUAACCCUAUUCUUAGUAUAUUUUGGUUAAUAUUUUGGAAGAAUUUUGAUACUUUGAAUUGUAUUUCCAAUAUAGGACUUUCAACUUUCUUUGGAGCAAAACAUGGUCAAAUGGAGGAAUUUUGGAGUAAUUCCAGUUGAAGGACGUUCAUGAGUCAGUUAGCUUGAUUGUAUCAAAAUAUCAGAUUUUUCCACCAAGUGGUUAUUUUCUAGAAAUAAAAUAAAGGAGGAUUGCGCGGUGCUGGAAUAGUGAAGUUUUGGGUUUGAAUUGCAUUUUUGGAGCCCAAGAUGACCUCAACUGGGUUCGUGGCCUUCUGGAGAUGGGUUCAGAAUGUCCUAAUCUUUAAAACAAGCUAUUAUGGGCUGGAUUUGGAGGAUAUCUGAGGCUAAAACAUGGCUGGACAAGUGCUUGGCAGAUUCUCCUAGUUUUAUUAGGAUUUUAUUUUCUAAGAUAUUUUAUUAUUAUUUAGUUUCCUAGUUGGAGUAAGAGACCUAUGUUUUAGGGUUUGUGCGAUGGCUUAGCAAAUAUAUUGCUUUGCCGUUCUUAGUUUUUUCUACGCUUUCUUUUAUGCAACUUUGUGUUGGAAAUUUUGAGUAGAAUUUCAUUGUCCCACAUUGCUCACCACCACAAGGUUUCCUCACUUUAUAAGGUUUUAUCCCUUAUAGAAAGUGAUUGGAGCAAUGGACCUUGGAGACUAAAAUUGGGCUCACCUUUGAGGUUGGGCUUUGGGGUGUAAUAAUUAAUUGAUAAUUAAUUAAUAAUUAAUAUAUAAUUAAUUAUCAAAAGAUAGCCUUGGGGCUCUUGGGCUCUGAAAAUUAAAUUCUUUAAUAAAUUAUUUUUAAUUAAUUUCGAAUUUAUUUAAUUAUUUUUUAUGAAAAGACUCAUCUUUUCAAAUGAAGUCUGAGAGCGUAUUUGAGAAACAGAUGGAGCAACACACCCUUUACAUUGAACAGUCGCUUCCCAAAAACAUGUCUGUUACGAACAGACAUAUGCUCACUAUAAAUACAUACAUCUACAUAUCAUUUAAAUCACUGAAAAUCAUCAAACCUCAUAUACCAAGCAUACUGAGAGCACCACAAACAAAUUCGCCAGAAGUCUAGUUUUCCGGUGCUGGAAUUUUAACUUAGAUCGUUGAAUCCUGGUGAAGUAGACGUCCGUAGAAUUACAAGCACUGAGUAGGGACGAAAUUUCUAUUUCAAGGACAUUGCGGUACGCAAGCCUCGAUCUUCAAGUUGUUUGUUUUAUAUUUUUGUUUUGUUCAUACUCUGCUAAUUUUUAUAUUCACAUUUAUUGUUUAUUAGCAUAUAUAAUUAAAUCACAAAUUGUUGACUUAUAUCCAACACUUUGGAGAUAAAGAGAAUUGCUAGGGUUCUUGGAGAUUUUCUACUUUAAGGUGUUUUCAAUCAUUUUCUUAAUAAUAUUUUCUAUGAUUUUAAUUAUGAAUAUGCAUAACUAAUUCUUUUUGUUAGGGCGAAGCCUUAAGCCUUAGCAUGAAUAUGUAAUUUUUAUUUAAUUGCUUAUGAUCGAUUGCAUGCAUACUUUGAAUUAUUGAUUACUGUGAUUAAAACUAUCUCAUUGUUUUAAUGCCUGAUCACCAUUAGAAUAUUUAGAAAAGUAAUUUGAUGCAAUUUUGGUCGGAAGGUUCCCUGAAAUUGAAGCUGGCUUCUUGUGAUUAAUAAUUAUAAUUUCACUUAGGAUGAACACCAUGUCUUAAGGGUUGCAUGAUUUUUCAAAGGGUUUUCAUAAAGCAUAAUGAGUCUUUCAUGUUCAGAUUUGAUCCGAACGUCCUGACGAGUUGCAUGUUAGAUAUACAUUCUAUGUUGGAGGUUCCAAAUAGAAUAUA
rnacentral:lncRNA from 1 species